CAGCAGUCACACUGGGUUUCAGUACGCGGUCCGCCGUCUGUUGUGUUCGGCCGUACGUCGUGUAACACCGCGUCGCCGUCGCCGCCGCUACUGUCGCGCCGCACGACGCCGUCCGGUUUUCAAUAAUAUUUUCCCUCGAUACGCGUGUCCGUACACCGGAGUUUCGUCCGGUUUUCAUUUAAUUCGUCGGGUUUUUUUUUUUUUUA